UCGAAUAAACUUGAACAGGCUGUUGCUGGUCCUCAGGGGCAUGUGCACGCUUGUCAUCUUUAUCAUUUCUCCAACUGUGCACCUCUUGUAGACCUGGGGCCAUUUGAAUUUUCGUUUCGAUUUGGACAAUGCUGUGCUCAAAGCCAGCUUUUGCCUUGGCUUUUCCAGGUCUAUGUUCAGUUUUUCAUAAACAAAAAACGUGUUUAGAAUGGUUGGCUUUACAAAUAAUAAAAGUUAUA
rnacentral:misc_RNA from 1 species